rnacentral:tRNA from 1 species
ACACACUGAGAUAUUGGUCCUUUUUCGAUUUUGCAAGUCGACGUUUUAUAGAUAAACUACAGUGAG